rnacentral:rRNA from 1 species
UGCGUAGGCGGGUCUUUAAGUCAGGGGUGAAAUCCUGGAGCUCAACUCCAGAACUGCCUUUGAUACUGAGGAUCUUGAGUUCGGGAGAGGUGAGCGGAACUGCGAGUGUAGAGGUGAAAUUCGUAGAUAUUCGCAAGAACACCAGUGGCGAAGGCGGCUCACUGGCCCGAUACUGACGCUGAGGCACGAAAGCGUGGGGAGCAAACA